GUGGUCUUUCGCUUCUCCUUGGCUUGAUUUUUCUACUUCUUAUGACAUAAUCUUAUCCAACUGAAAUUAGUUACUCAAGAACUUUUUUGUUAAUUAAUAUGUUUUUGACAUAUUGAACACCAGAAGCUUCCAACACAUUUCAGAAACGAUGUAUAAAACAUAUUUAUAAAUAUCAUAUCAUUCAAUGUUAUGAUUGUUUUUCGUUAGAAACAUCAAUGUGUACAUAUG
rnacentral:lncRNA from 1 species